rnacentral:lncRNA from 1 species
UUCGGUCGGGCGGGGAGGGUACCUGCGAAGGCACUCCGACGCUCAAGUAAGUAUGAGAUUCUACGCGCAGUUUCGUCAGUGAAUGAAAACGUACCUUUCUCUGGCUUGAGCACAGUAUUUAUAGGAUUGCCUAAUGGGCUUUCUAUCCCUUGGGCUCAGGGUGGUUAUGGAUAUGUCUUGUCAGUCGUGCUCCGGAAUACCCGGGGAACAUAUCUUCUCUAAACGCAUAUUCCUUAUUCUUCGGAGGUGUAUCUUAACC